UCCUUGCCUCUAUUUGACUUUGCUCCUGAGUAUGGUGUGCAACUUGUUGCUGGUUCCAUGAGAGCUUCUCCAUGAUGCUCACACAGGGGCACAAAGUGUGGGGGGUGGCCUCUGUCCUCCUGGCACUGUGGUUCCCUGACUGCAGUUCCCUUCCUCAAGCAGGAUCAGAGCAGGGCUUCGGAGAGUCCUACGCAGAGAGCAUCAUCCAAGGACAUGUUUUCAAAGGUACCAUAGGAUGAGAGCUGGGAAAAGCAGAAGGGACAAAAUCCACCCUUGGUUCUCCAGCAGUUUCCAGCUCUCCAUCUCCCAGAGUUUGAAACAUCUCAAGAAAGGGCCCAGGAAGAAGGGAAAUCCUCCCAGAAGGGUUGUUUGCAGUAGCACUUUUCCAUAACACUGCAUUGUUACAGCAUCACAAGGAUUUGUCUCCUCUUCUGGCUCCAGCAUGCAUGUUCCUGGCUCCCAUGGAGGCACUGUGGACAGCCCAUGCCAUACAACAUGCCAGAAACAUGACCUCCCCAUGAACUUCAGGCCAUAUUUUCAAGUCUGCGCCCAGCUCCUUGCAGGCAGGGCUGUCUGGCCAAUGCAUCCUGGCCCUUUUGCAUGGAAAAUGAGCUGUGUCAGCCUUCAUGGCCCGCUGGCUUGCCAGCUGUGUCCCUAACAGCACUUUGCAACCUCCUCCCUCCCUGCUCAACAUGUUGCCUUCACCCAGCACGUGGGACAGCAACGAGGGAACUGUGAGCUCUUCCUCUGUGGCUGGGGCCCAGCUGGCCACCCCCAUCUCCCCACUGCAGCCACCAUACACUCCUCAAUGCAGCAGAACUCAAUGUACAGCUUUUUUUUUUUUUCCCUCCUUGGUUUUCCUGUUUCCAGAACAGUAGAAUAUUUUAUUUGCAUCGUGCCCCAGUUCCCCAGUUUCCAGCACGCAGAACAGGGCGAUCUGUACCCGUCUCUUGCAGCAGCUGAUGCUUGCUCCCCUGGCAAAGCUCCAGUUAAUGCUUUCUCCCCCAGCCUACAGCACUUAUAAUGAUAUUAAUAACCAGACACUGAGGUUCAGCAUUAAGGAUUUCUUUAAGCUUGCUUCUCGGGGCUCUGAUUGGGUUUUGUAGCCAUCUCUGCUUCAUCCUAUGGUCCAUCAGGGUUGAUGGGGGCACCUGGACCUCUUUCGGGAAGUUUCUCCACAGCUCCUUCCUUCCAUAGCACCCACAGGGACAGGGACAGGCUUGGUGCUCCCAGACCUCUUUUCUGUUUUUUUCCCUUAAUGCAUUGAAGGGUGAUCUCUUGUAAAGUGGUUCUCUAUUAACCCUAUUCAUGAGUCUUUUAAUUAGCGUUGUCUUCUGCUAAGUAAUUGCUCCAGCAUAAGCUCCUCUGGGGCAAUGCAGAGCUGCAACAGAGCACUGCAGGAGAUACAGGCUGCUGUUCUGCCUUCUGGACCUGCUGUUGCUGGCCACUAUGCCCUUCCUUCGCACAGUGCCGGAGCAGCCCACUAAAAUUUGCAAAGAAAAGCAGAAAGAACCAUCUGAAACCCCACCAGAAGCUGCAACAGGUAGAGUUCUACCCUUAUAUAUGGGAAACCCCCAGCUCAGCUGAAUCCUACUGAUGCACAUCUAAUGGUGGCUUUGUAGAGGCCCUAUUCAAAGCACUCAGCUUUGAGAGCACGUUUCCCCCAGCACUGAGGAGCAAUGUUUCCUUUGUCAAUUCAGGGUCCCCAAGCAAUCUGCAUCACCCCAUGCCUGGAAGCAGUGCUCAUUCCCUCAGCUGUCGGCCCUUCUUUCUGCCUUGGUUGCCCACAUCCUCCAUUGAAGCUCACAAAGUGGUACUUUGUACCAGAGCAAGAAACAAGAGACGUGCGUUGCAACACAGGAGGGAGAAAGGAAAAAAAUAAAAAGCCUCAUCUCACCUCUUGUGUUUUUUCUGGAAGUGUCACUGCCCUUAAUGCAUCAAAUAAUUAGAAUCACUUCUCCUCUUUUGUUUACCUUGGCCCUUGCUGCUUGCUUUGAGCAGGCCAACAUAAAUCCGUGUGCACCGCAGGAAUUUUGGGCACAGCCCGUUCUGCAGCGCUGGGUGCAGGGGGAGAGGUGGCUGCAAGAGCUCUGGUUCUGCCCCAUAUGUCCCUGCUGCUGUGGGCACUGCUGGACAUGGAGCUCCUAUAGAGGGGACUUCACUGCAACACUUGAGCUCAACCAGGUGCUGACCCUUAUGGAAAUCACUGUCCUGGAGAGAAGCAUCAGCAGCUGAUGCCCAUUUAAUGCCAAAAUUCCAGAUUUGUGUUCCAAAGGUGACAUGGGAGAACAGGUCCCUUGUGAAUGCUGGAAAGCUGUGCUGGGUGAGGUGGCAUUGCGCCAUUAAUCUGCAUGGAGAGGAGACCAGCACCCCUUACAGCCACAGAUGGACAGAUGGACACAGUGCCAGCAUCGCAGCCCAGCUGGUUGCCUGACCCCAGCACCGCUCCCAUGGGCUGCACGUAUGUCAAUGGGUUAUUAAAGAAACGGAUGAGGGAUUAGCUGUGCUGUAGGUAGAGACUCCAUUCAGAUUUGCUAAGUUUCAGCAAGUAUGUUUUCAAUAAUUGGCUGGUAUUUGUAA